GACGAACGCUGGCGGCGUGCUUAACACAUGCAAGUCGAACGGAAAGGCCUCUUUCGGGGGGUACUCGAGUGGCGAACGGGUGAGUAACACGUGAGUAACCUGCCCUUGACUUUGGGAUAACUUCAGGAAACUGGGGCUAAUACCGGAUAGGAGCUCCUGCUGCAUGGUGGGGGUUGGAAAGUUUCGGCGGUUGGGGAUGGACUCGCGGCUUAUCAGCUUGUUGGUGGGGUAGUGGCUUACCAAGGCUUUGACGGGUAGCCGGCCUGCGAGGGUGACCGGCCACAUUGGGACUGAGAUACGGCCCAGACUCCUACGGGAGGCAGCAGGGGGGAAUAUUGCACAAUGGGUGGAAGCCUGAUGCAGCAACGCCGUGUGCGGGAUGACGGCCUUCGGGUUGUAAACCGCUUUCGCUCAUGACGAAGCUUUGUGUGACGGUAGUGGGUAAAGAAGCACCGGCUAACUACGUG
rnacentral:rRNA from 1 species